GUCGAGCGGGCGAGGUUGCUUCGGUAACUGAGCUAGCGGCGGACGGGUGAGUAAAGCUUAGGAAUCUGCCUAUUAGUGGGGGACAACAUUCCGAAAGGGAUGCUAAUACCGCAUACGUCCUACGGGAGAAAGCAGGGGAUCACUUGUGACCUUGCGCUAAUAGAUGAGCCUAAGUCGGAUUAGCUAGUUGGUGGGGUAAAGGCCUACCAAGGCGACGAUCUGUAGCGGGUCUGAGAGGAUGAUCCGCCACACUGGGACUGAGACACGGCCCAGACUCCUACGGGAGGCAGCAGUGGGGAAUAUUGGACAAUGGGGGGAACCCUGAUCCAGCCAUGCCGCGUGUGUGAAGAAGGCCUUUUGGUUGUAAAGCACUUUAAGCGAGGAGGAGGCUUACCUGGUUAAUACCUGGGAUAAGUGGACGUUACUCGCAGAAUAAGCACCGGCUAACUCUGUGCCAGCAGCCGCGGUAAUACAGAGGGUGCGAGCGUUAAUCGGAUUUACUGGGCGUAAAGCGCGCGUAGGUGGUUAAUUAAGUCAAAUGUGAAAUCCCCGAGCUUAACUUGGGAAUUGCAUUCGAUACUGGUUAGCUAGAGUAUGGGAGAGGAUGGUAGAAUUCCAGGUGUAGCGGUGAAAUGCGUAGAGAUCUGGAGGAAUACCGAUGGCGAAGGCAGCCAUCUGGCCUAAUACUGACACUGAGGUGCGAAAGCAUGGGGAGCAAACAGGAUUAGAUACCCUGGUAGUCCAUGCCGUAAACGAUGUCUACUAGCCGUUGGGGGAUUUGAUCCUUUAGUGGCGCAGCUAACGCGAUAAGUAGACCGCCUGGGGAGUACGGUCGCAAGACUAAAACUCAAAUGAAUUGACGGGGGCCCGCACAAGCGGUGGAGCAUGUGGUUUAAUUCGAUGCAACGCGAAGAACCUUACCUGGCCUUGACAUAGUAGAGACUUUCCAGAGAUGGAUUGGUGCCUUCGG
rnacentral:rRNA from 1 species